GGGAAGCCAAGGUGUCUCGGGACCCCAGGGGUUAACAGGCCCAAAGGGAGUAACGGGGCCUCCAGGCAUUGAUGGCAAGGAUGGGACCCCUGGCACACCUGGCAUGAAGGGCAGUGCAGGUCAGGCAGGGCGGCCAGGAAGCCCAGGCCACCAGGGUCUAGCGGUGAGUAUCAGGUGGAGGCACCAGGGCUGCCCAUGGGCAAUUUGAUCCUCCUGGGCCUAAGAGAGAACAACCACCCGAAGGCCCACCUCCCUGUGAAGGUGUGAGGGGCUGAUGAGGUCAAAAUCCACAUUUGAGCUCUCGCCCUGUCACUGCCUCUGGCCCAUUCCACUUCUGUGUCUCCUGGCCUGGUGUAGCCUCAUUCGGACAACUGUUUUAGCUUUCUCUUUGCUGCUCCAGUCCUCCACAUCUGCUGAGUAGAAUCAGUUUGGGCAUUCAGUAACGGAAUACUUGAGUGGUGGGGAAACAGCUACAAAUGGGGCAGAUAUAAUCUUUGACGUUACCAGCCCAGCUUAGCAUUCAAUGGCCACCAUAACUGAGCCCAGCCUACCACCCACUGGCACUGCCUCUCUGUCCUCUCCUUUCGCAACACUGCAGCGCCUUUUCUCUUUUUGG